UGAGUUUUUGAAACGUGACGUCAAAGUCUUUCUGUUUUGCAUACAAAGUAAGAUGUAAAAGCAUUUCCGGUUCCCCUUUUUACUUAAAACCCGGCUCGGUACUGCAUCAACAUAGUAUUUGAAUUGACCAGGUCCUGUAUUUGGGCGAUUUCAAAAUUGAUGUAAUAAAGUGGUAAUUGAACCUCGAGUCGUGCAAUUUUGGUCUAAAAUCAAGUUUGUGAUUUCAAAUCAAACUCGCGCUGUGGGCUCGUUCGAUUUAGAAAUCACGCGUAUGAUUUCAGCCCAAAUUGCACUCCACUCAGUUCAAUUACCAUUUUAAAUUUGUAAUUGUCAGAGAUGUUAUCAAAAUUAAUGUAGACACCUUGAUUAUUAAACCAUUUCUCGUAAGUCAUUUUUAUACCUACAAAGCAAACGAAACAACAUGCUAGCAAAAUCUUCUUACUGUUUGUUCUCUUUUUUUACAUGCUAAUGUAAGAAGUUCAGUCUAAUGGGGACCAAGGCGUGGAGAUGGAAGCGGGUUAUUCCUCAGCCGACCACCAGUAUGCAGCUGCGGGUCCUAAUGCCAGCUAUCGAGCCUCCAAGCCGUCGUCUUUGCCUCCAGUGACUUACGAAGUUGCUAAUAGGAGGUCUGAGGGAAGAAGAGGGAAUGGAGCAAGUGAACCGAAAGAGCCACUCCCACAAUAUGCAGUGGUCGAUAAGACAAAGAAGAAAAAAAGGACACCAAAACCCGGUGAGCUUCAGUAUGCUGAGCUUGGUGAACUGACAGGUCCUCGACAGAAGGCAGUACUGCCACGUGUUAGUGGUACAGAUACUGUGUAUUCAGACAUCAGGGCGUAGAGGAUGUGUGCCGUUACGUAAAUGGAUCAUCAGUAAUCAAGUGGAUGAGACAAACGUGGAAACAGUAAUUGAUUUUGUAGCUUUGUCAACAUCAUAUUACGAUAUAUAUUGUAUUGUUUUGUAAAGUGCCUGUUGCUACAACUGCAAUCAAAACCGCUGAAAUAUUCCGCUGUAAGGAAAAACAUGAUGCAUAAUUCUAAGUUUGUUCGUUGAAAAAUUGUGAGAGGAUUGUAAUCUUGUAACAUGUUAUCGCCGGUCGGAUGUUCCACCAUUAAGCAUCAAAAAACGGCGUGGUUCAUAUCACAUUAUUCAGUCACUAGUUUCGUCACUAUUCGAACGUUAGUAUCUUCAAUGUAGCAGCAUACGAAAAAGAAAAACUAGAUGGUAAGUACUUUUCCUUAAAAGAGAGAUGCAAAGGCCCGAUAGCAAUUUAUAAUAUUUAUUACAAGCUUUUCGAAUAUAAUAUUGAACAACUUUGAUUCUUCGGGAAUUUUUACCAUGUUAGUGCUUUGGAGAUCAAGAAGCACAGGAAUACAAGGCAAUUUAAGAAAAUAUACAACAUUUUUUGAAAACAUGUUUCCACAGUUCUUCUGUCACACAAAGUACAAAGUUGAAUUUAAUGUCUUUAAAAAAAUGUUCAUGAGACAAAGCAACACUAAGUAAUGUGAGCUAUUACAAGGAAAGUAAAAUUUAUUAUGAGAAAGUUAAUGAUUAAGUAUUGGUUGCCCCCCUCGAAUGUGAAUAGCUUCUUUUCUUUUAAGUUUGAGAGCCGUGAAAGCGUGAUCUAAGAUGCAAAAACAUUCAUCAGAACAUAGAGGACGACAUUGUUGAGGAUUUUGUAGAUGUCUGAAAAUGUGAGAGGUCUUAUCACUAACCAAGUGCUCGUGCACACAUGAGGAUAAGUGACGAGAGGUUUCGCCAAAAUAGUAAGCAUUACAGCCCGCACAUAAAAGCUCGUAAACCACACACGUACGGAGCUUUCAUUCAAAGGGAGCAAUCACACUUAAUCAUCAACUUAAUAAUGUUCAUUUAAACUUUCCAUUUAGUUGCAUGUUUUGUUUUGUUUCUAAUGUCGUUUUGUCCCCUGAGCACUUUAAAUUCAUCUUUUUACUUUGUAUAAAUUUGAGCUGAAGAUAACAGAAUAGCUGUGGAAACAUGUUUUCAAAAAUGUUGUAUAUUUCUUUAGCUCGUGACAUAUCCUGCUAUUCAGACCUUUUAGUAGCACAAGAGAACCACAUACUGAGCAGUGUCACUCGUAACUUUGCAAUCUUCUAUAUGGUUUCCUUUUGACUUCAUAACAUCACUGUAGCUUUUUUCCCUGGUGUUCACGGUUUUCUAAGCUCGCCAGUUAAUAAUUUUUGCAUUAUUUACAGGAGUGGGUGUAGUUCAGCAGUUUUUAAUGUACAGCUGGUUUAACUUGAUUAGCGAGCUUUCAAUUUCCCCUUAGUUCUUCAGCAUGUAAUUUUCAGCGGAAUCGUAAUAAUCGCAACAUGGUGCCACUUAGUGGUCAAGGAAUUGAUUUUCUCUUUGUUUUCAACUUCCCACUAUUUAUCAAAUAAAUUGCUGGGUGAGUACCUAAAUUUUCACGCCAGUCAAUUUUAUAAAAUAAUGCAGUCGAUUAA
rnacentral:lncRNA from 1 species